rnacentral:tRNA from 1 species
GCUGGAGUGGCGGAACUGGCAGACGCACGAGACUCAAAAUCUCGCGUCCCGUUAAGGGACAUGGGGGUUCAACUCCCCCCUCCAGCA